AGAAAAGGUCAGGAUAGCUCGGUUGCUAGAGCAGAGGACUGAAAAUC
rnacentral:tRNA from 1 species